rnacentral:lncRNA from 1 species
GACGACCGAUGAUCCGGCCGGCCGGCCGGCCGGGGAUGGAGUUGAUGAGCUUAGUAGCGUGGAUCGGAGAAGGCCAUGCAUGGAGCUGGCCUAGCUAGCUAGCUCCUCGGCUUAGGCAAAGACUAGCUUGGCUAGCUAUAACUAGGAAACGGGAGGGAUAGGUGUGCCCAUGUCGGUGGACAAUGUGUGUAUAUAGGGCAGAGGCACAUCGCGCGCGCUGGCUCGUUUCCUCCGGCCGGCGCCUUCUACUUCUAGCAAUAACCCCCCUCUUUUCCCAUGUACGGCCAACAACAACGACCAUAUUAAUCAGAUAAAGAAAUACAGUAGUCAAGUUUUUUUUUUAACUUGCAAUCAACGCUGCUUCAGCCUUUUAGAUGAAGUGGCUGCUUCAGCUCUUAGCUGUCAAGUUUGGAGAUAUCAGAAAACGUCGAUUCAAUUUUUUGUAUUUUUUUAAGAAAUUUCUUUGAUGGCUUGAAUUCUCUUGUUUUUAGAACCUUGGGUGAGUAGGGUGUUCAUGUAAUUCGUAAAGAAUUAGAGAAUUCAAAAUUUCUUUGAUUGCUUGAAUUCUCUUUUUUUACACGAACACUGGGUUCUUUUAAUGUGGAAAACUAUUUUGAAUUCUCAUUUCUUAUUUCCUUUAUGGUAUUUUGAUCAGGUUUUCCUUUCUAACUUAAAUGGGAGAGCUGCUUCUGUUCAUGUGCCAAAACAAUGUUGUGCCACCCAGUUUGAAUUCCAGUCUUUGAACUUGAAAUUUUCUAACUGCAACUCUUUUUUUAGGUGGGUAAUUGAAUCUUUGGGAAAUAAAAUUUGGAACACCAAACCUUUUACUCCAAUAGUUUGAACUUUAACCUUUAUAUUGUUCAUG